rnacentral:rRNA from 1 species
UACGUAGGGGGCCAGCGUUGUCCGGAAUCAUUGGGCGUAAAGCGCGCGUAGGCGGUCAGGUAAGUCCGGUGUGAAAGUCAAAGGCUCAACCUUUGAAUGCCGCUGGAUACUGCUUGACUUGAGUCCGGAAGGGGCGAGUGGAAUUCCUGGUGUAGCGGUGAAAUGCGCAGAUAUCAGGAGGAACACCGGUGGCGAAGGCGGCAUCCUGGACCGGCAUUGACGCUGAGGCGCGAAAGCCAGGGGAGCAAACGGG